AGGCACGCCUGCNCAGUGAACAAUUAAACGGCCGCGGUACCCUAACCGUGCAAAGGUAGCAUAAUCAUUUGUCUACUAAUUAUAGACCUGUAUGAAAGGCAAAAUGAGGGUCUAACUGUCUCUUGUAGUCAAUCUAUUAAACUGAUCCCCUAGUAAAAAAGCUAGGAUACCAACAUAAGACCAGAAGACCCUGUGAAGCUUAAACUAAACUAUUAAACCAUAUAAUAACUACUUUCGGUUGGGGCGACCUUGGAAAAAAAAAGAACUUCCAAAUAUAUGACCUUCAUCAUACUAAACAGGCACACAAGCCAACAAACGACCCAGCACAGCUGACCAAUGAACCAAGUUACUCCAGGGAUAACAGCGCAAUCCUCUUCAAGAGCCCAUAUCAAAAAGAGGGUUUACGACCUCGAUGUUGGAUCAGGACAUCCUAAUGGUGCAGUCGCUAUUAAGGGUUCGUUUGUUCAACGAUUAACAGUCCUACGUGAUCUGNUU
rnacentral:rRNA from 1 species